CAGAAGUCAGAUGUUGGAAACAGCAGAGAUGUAAUUUUCAAAUAAAUAAGCGUGCCUAAACCUGGAAAUGUUGCACGGCCUUUGACUUCAAUUACUUCUUCCAUCUCAUGUGCAGCGUCUCGAAGGACAAACUUAAUAUUGCCACUGGCUGCUUCAGGAAACAUCUGGCAAAGAUUGUACAAUGGCAGGAUGAGUUUGUCAAUUGUUUUGAGCUCUGGUAAAUCCAGAGUUGCUAACUCUCCAAUAUAUUCCAGAAUGAAGCCAAACAGUUUUUCCAACUUUGUUUUGUUUCCCACUGCAAGACUUGGGUGAUUGCAUUUCUGAAUCCUCUCCAGUAUAGUAAGCUGUUGCUCUACUGUUCUUCCAGCCAAUAAAGAUUUAAAUUUCUCAUAGGACUCAGGAACCGCAAAUGUAUAUGGAAGCUCUGAUUUGGCAGCUUCCAUUUUUGGAUCCAGUUCCUCCACAUUCUGUGAUUCAUUUUCAUUUGCCUUGUGUUUCUUUUGUUCUUUAUUUCCUGCAGCUUCUUCUUCACUCUCAAGGUCAGACUCGAGAUCCGAGUGGUUAUCUGAUGCAACAUCCUCCUCAUCUUCAGUAGCAGAUUCUUCCUCACCUUCUUCAUUCUCAUUAUCUUCCUUCUCACCUUCCUCUUCUUCCUGUUCCUCUUCCUCUUCUUUGUCCUCCUCCUCUUCUUUGUCCUCCUCCUCCUCCACAUUUUCAAUGUUCAUUUUUCCAUCCUUGUAAGACAAUAAACGUCUGUCGUCUUUAUCCAGGAUAAAGCCAUCAGUUAGAUCAUCAGCUGACACGUGGCUGGGUUUCUUUUUAUUCUCUUGUUCACCUAUUCCACGCAUUCGACGUAGUCGAUCUGCCUCUAGCUUCUGGAGUCGCGCCUCCUCCUCUUUUGCCAAUUCUUCUUCUGUCUUCAUCCUUUCUGAAGGUUUUGCUUUCAUCUCGAAUCCAAGUUCUCGAACAAUCAUAUCAUAUUCAUCAGGCUUGGGUUUUUCUGCCUCUUUGUCCUUUCUUUCUGACUUUGGAGGUUUGCGGGCCAUAAGGGUUUGGAUUUCCUUCCAGUCAUUGUCAAGCUUUUCAGUAAGUUCUAAAGCACUUUCUCUCCGACUUUGCCUUUCUUGCUUUUCUUGUUUAGAUUUGGCUAUCAACUCUUCUAUGAGUUCCUUCCUAGAUUUAGGUUUUUCCUCCUCUUCAUCUUCCUGCUCAGUUGACGCUUUUUUACGAAGAAGGCCUCCACCCCCUCCAAAGUGAGCAGCAGUUAACUCAGCUGACAAUGCUCCUCUUUCAUCUGUGUCACUAUCGCUAUCAAUAACAUCAUUCAGUUUUUCAAUUUCUGCCAAAGAUUGGCCAAAAUGAGUUAAUUCUUCAUCUUCGUUGAGAUUAUAGAUAUUUUUCUUUCCAUAAUUUUGCUGUCUUUCCAAAGUGAAUCGUUUUAUCAUCUUUUCCUCUGGACUUAUUUUGGUGUUAUAUUCACCAAAACGUUUAUCUCUAAAUACAUUUGUCUUUUCUUUUUCUUUAUAUUCUUUCAAUAACGUUUGUGUUCGCUUCUUGAUAGCCUUGGACCGUGACACACCAGGCA
rnacentral:lncRNA from 1 species